AUGGCUGUCAUCGGCACGGCGGGGGCGGAGGUGCUGAUACCGCUGGCGGCGGUGAUCGGCAUCGCGUUCGCGGUGUUCCAGUGGUACGCGGUGGCCAAGGUGCCGGUCCCGUCCCACGACGGCGAGGAUGGCGGCGGCGCCGCCCAGAAAGGCCGCAGCGGGCACGAUGAGAGCGCGGAGGACGGCGUGGACUACCGGCAGGUGGAAGCCCGGUGCGCAGAGAUCCAGCACGCCAUCUCCAUCGGCGCCACGUCCUUCCUCUUCACCGAGUACAGGUACCUCGCCGUGUUCAUGGCUGGGUUCGCGGUGGUGAUCUUCAUGUUCUUGGGGUCGGCGCAGCGUUUCAGCACGCGGCCAGAGCCAUGCACGUACGACCCAGCGCGCAUGUGCCGGCCGGCGCUAGCGAACGCGGCCUUCAGCAUGAUCGCGUUCCUCCUGGGCGCGCUCACCUCCGUGAUGUCCGGGUACCUCGGGAUGCGCGUGGCGACGUUCGCGAACGCGCGCACGGCGCUCGAGGCUCGCCGCGGCGUGGGGCGCGCCUUCGUCGUGGCGUUCCGGUCUGGCGCCGCCAUGGGCUUCCUCCUCGCGUCCAGCGCGCUGUUCGUCCUCUACGUCGCCAUCAACCUCUUCGGCGUCUACUACGGCGACGACUGGGGCGGGCUCUACGAGUCCAUCACCGGCUACGGCCUCGGCGGCUCGUCCAUGGCCCUCUUUGGCCGCGUCGGCGGCGGCAUCUACACCAAGGCCGCCGACGUCGGCGCCGACCUCGUCGGCAAGGUGGAGCGCAACAUCCCCGAGGAUGACCCUCGCAACCCCGCGGUGAUCGCUGACAACGUGGGGGACAACGUCGGCGACAUCGCCGGGAUGGGGUCGGACCUUUUCGGGUCGUACGCGGAGUCGUCGUGCGCGGCGCUGUUCGUGGCCUCCAUCUCGUCGUUCGGGACGGAGCACAACUUCGCGGCGAUGAUGUACCCGCUGCUCAUCAGCGCCAUGGGCAUCGUGGUGUGCUUGGCCACCACGGUCGUCGCCACCGACCUCGCCGAGGUGAAGACCGUCGAGGAGAUCGGGCCGGCGCUCAAACGGCAGAUCCUCAUCUCCACCGUGCUCAUGACGGUCGGCAUCGCCAUCGUCAGCUUCCUCGUCCUGCCGCACAGCUUCACCCUCUUCGACUUCGGCAGGCGCAAGCUCGUCAAGAACUGGUACCUUUUCAUCUGUGUGUCGGCCGGUUUGUGGGCGGGUCUUGUCAUCGGCUAUGUCACCGAGUACUUCACAAGCAACGCUUACAGGCCGGUGCAGGCGGUGGCGAACUCAUGCCGGACGGGAGCGGCGACGAACGUCAUCUUCGGGCUGGCGGUGGGGUACAAGUCGGUGAUCGUGCCCAUCUUCGCCAUCGCGACGGCCAUCUACGCCAGCUUCCGCCUCGCCGCCAUGUACGGCAUCGCGCUGGCGGCGCUGGGCAUGCUCAGCACCAUCGCCACGGGGCUCAGCAUCGACGCCUACGGUCCCAUCAGCGACAACGCCGGCGGCAUUGCCGAGAUGUCCGGCAUGCCUCACGUGGUCCGCGAGCGCACGGACGCGCUCGACGCCGCCGGCAACACCACCGCCGCCAUCGGCAAAGGGUUCGCGAUCGGGUCGGCGGCGCUGGUGUCGCUGGCGCUGUUCGGCGCCUACGUGAGCCGCGCCGGGGUCGCGGCGGUGGACGUGCUGAGCCCUCGGGUGUUCGCGGGGCUGCUGGCGGGGGCCAUGCUGCCCUACUGGUUCUCGGCGAUGACGAUGCGGAGCGUGGGGAGCGCGGCGCUGGCGAUGGUGGAGGAGGUGCGGCGGCAGUUCGACAGCAUCCCGGGGCUGAUGGAGGGCACGGCGAAGCCGGACUACGCCACCUGCGUCAAGAUCUCCACCGACGCGUCGCUCAAGAAGAUGCUGGCGCCCGGCGCGCUCGUCAUGCUCAGCCCGCUGGUCGCCGGCACGCUGUUCGGCACCGAGACGCUGGCCGGGCUCCUCGCCGGCGCGCUGGUGUCGGGGGUCCAGGUGGCGAUCUCGGCGUCCAACAGCGGCGGCGCGUGGGACAACGCCAAGAAGUACAUCGAGGCCGGCGCGUCGGCGGAGGCGCGGGCGCUGGGGCCCAAGGGGUCGGACGCGCACAAGGCGGCGGUGAUCGGCGACACCAUCGGCGACCCGCUCAAGGACACCUCCGGCCCAUCGCUCAACAUCCUCAUCAAGCUCAUGGCCGUCGAGGCGCUCGUCUUCGCGCCAUUCUUCGCCGCGCACGGCGGCCUCAUCUUCAAGCACCUCUGA
rnacentral:rRNA from 1 species